AUGGCGAGCGGCGGUGAAGCGAAGCUACAGUACGAGGAAGCGCCGGCGUCUUUCAAAUCCGUGGUGUGGAGACAUUUCGGUUUUGCCGUUGAGUAUAAUGCCGAGGAAGAAAAAACGGUAAACAAAAAAAUGACUAUCUGCAAGCAUUGUUUUACACGUGUAGCCUACUCAAACGGAAACACUUCCAACAUGACUGCACAUCUGCGGCGCCAUCACCCAGCAAUAUCACUGUCUGAAGGCAGGAUAUCAGAGCAGGAUGAAUUGAUUCCAAAAUUCCCAUCUGUCACUCUAUUAUGGCCUCAUAAAGCUGCAUGUUCUGUCAUCUCUGGGAUGGGUACCUGUUGGCAUCAAGCCUGAACCACUAUCAGAGCAUUGUCAGAGUACUGGAGCACGGCCGUCUGAGAGCCACACCGGGCUGCUGUUUGGAAAUGGCUUUACAGCUGUCAGGACUCCUGACACCUGUCACCUCAGCACACACAGCUCAAAUGAGAGCGGGAUUAGAGACGAGGCCUGAAAAUUCCUGCUCGGAGAGAUGGGGUGGUGUGGGGCUCGCUUAUGUUACUGAAGUGAAUGAGUCAUAAAUGGAAAGUUCAUAGAUGGAUUGUCAGUCCGUCAAAAAGUAACAUCCCAAACAUGAACAGCUUUUUGUCAAGUCAUAAAACUUGUCAUCACCUGUCUUCCUGAUAUACUGUAACACAGUAUAUCAGAAGUUUCCCAUUUAGUACUGAUAGCAGACUAUAAAACUGCAACACGAUAUUUACAAUUCUUUUCCUCUUUGCAUUUGUUGUUGCUCCUACAGUUGCUAUAGUAACUGCUGAAUAGUAUUUAGCUUGGUAAAUAUAAAAAAAGAUCUUGUGGAACCCGUUAAUGACACUGGAUGAUUUAUUACAUUAAUACAGUAUAUUGUACAACCCAACACUUACUGUUGUUUUGAAGUACUUUUAUUAGCAAUUGCCUUUUUUAGCUGGACUUUUGCAUUUUGUAGUUUUUUGUCUUGCUAGUUUGUGUGACCUAGCAAGGCAUCACUAUUACUAAUUCUCAUACUUUUCCCUUACACAAAGAAAAUAUAUUUCCUAAUAUAUGAAUGACCAAUAUACAGUAUUAAAUUACAUAACGGUAUAUUAGAAAUUAUACAGUAUAAUAUAUUGUGUAAAUAUGUUACUAUACAUUGAAUAAUAAGGAAUUGUGUUUGUCUUCAUUUCUAAACAUAUUUUUUGUAUCAAUAUAUAUCCAUAUAUUGUCAAUGCAUAUAUUGCUGUAUAUUGAAAAAUAUUAGCACUAGUUUCCAAUAUAUGGAAAUGUAUUAUGUAAUACAUUGCAUUAUAUUUUGCAUUAUAUUCUCAUAUUUUUUUUUUUCGUAAGGGUUAUUAAAGCCUUGGAACAAACUCUUGCAAGAGCAUGCCCAUCAAUGUGCUUCAUUCAGGUUACAGAAGUCGUCAGCAGUCUUUGGUUGUGAGGGAAAGAUAACCUUGUUCAGCUUCCCAAAGAACCCAGGGUUAAGGGAAUUAUUUAUGUCGAUGUCACAGCUUGCAGAUGAUUGCUGUGCAAAAGCUUCGCAUGCUCAUGAUUCUUUAGCUUCGCCUGCGGCACGCCUCUAUGUUCCUCUAUUGUCCCAUGCAUUUGUUCUAUGAACAUAAAUUAUACCUCAGUUUUUGUGGCUUGUUCAGGGAAAGUUUUUUUAUUUUUAUUUUUUUAACUGACGGGCACUACUGUUCAAAAGUUGGGUUGGUUAGAAGUUUUAAUGUUUUGAAAGACAUCUUUUAUGUUCACCAAGGCUACAUUUAUUAUUAUAUAUAAAAUACAGAACACUACAAUUGUGAAGUGUUAUUACAACUGUUUUUUAUUUUCAAAUAUUAUAAAAUGUAAUUUAUUCCCGUGAUGUUAAAGUGGAAUUUUCAGUAGCCAUUGCUCCAGUCUUCAGUGUCACAUGGUCCUUCAAAAAUCAUUCUGAUAUGCUGAUUUAUUGUUCAAGAAACAGUUAUUAUUAUUAUUAUUAUUAUUAUUAUUAUUAUUAUUAAAUUUUAAAUGGUAAAAAAAUCAAAAGAACAUUCUGUUGCUUUUUUUUUAAUCAAUUUCAUGCAUCCUUGCCUAAUAAAAAUAUAUCUUUCCAAAAAAAAAUAAAAAAUGGUCAAGCCCCCAGCCACUACAAUAUUAUUGUCCCUAGAUAUAUGUUUACUUGACUGUUUUAGCCUGUUUUAUUAUUGAAAAUCAUUAGUUUGAUUGCUUAGAAUAGUGUUAUAGUGAUUUUUAGAUUUGAAGCACUAGUCAUGUUUAUGAAAUGUUCAAAUUUAGCAUUUUAAAUCUCCGGACAAAGCAUUACUGCUGCUCUACUGGUGUCUGCUACCUUAGACCUGAAAGCUAGAUAAAAUGGUGCACGUCCCAUAAUGUGGGCCACUUGACUGACUAAGCUAGUUGUCAUCAUCUGAGAGAGAUUCCAGGACUUGUAAAAACACAAGGCACAGCCCUUCACUUUGGCACGGAUGUUCCUGUGAUUGUCAGGUUAGUAAUAACAUCAAACGCUCCUGUGUUUCAACACAUCAGCCCAAGACACUAAGAAGCUGUAAAGUAUACGACAGCUCAUUCU
ensembl:lncRNA